CAGUUAGGUUAGAGUACUAGAUUGUGAUUCUAGAUGUCAUGGGUUCAAAUCCCAUUAUUC
rnacentral:tRNA from 13 species